rnacentral:rRNA from 1 species
GAACGCUGGCGGCGUGCUUAACACAUGCAAGUCGAACGAUGAUGCCCAGCUUGCUGGGCGGAUUAGUGGCGAACGGGUGAGUAAUACGUGAGUAACCUGCCCUUGACUCUGGGAUAAGCCUGGGAAACUGGGUCUAAUACUGGAUACUACCUCUUACCGCAUGGUGGGUGGUGGAAAGGGUUUUACUGGUUUUGGAUGGGCUCACGGCCUAUCAGCUUGUUGGUGGGGUAAUGGCUCACCAAGGCGACGACGGGUAGCCGGCCUGAGAGGGUGACCGGCCACACUGGGACUGAGACACGGCCCAGACUCCUACGGGAGGCAGCAGUGGGGAAUAUUGCACAAUGGGCGGAAGCCUGAUGCAGCGACGCCGCGUGAGGGAUGACGGCCUUCGGGUUGUAAACCUCUUUCAGUAGGGAAGAAGCGAGAGUGACGGUACCUGCAGAAGAAGCGCCGGCUAACUACGUGCCAGCAGCCGCGGUAAUACGUAGGGCGCAAGCGUUGUCCGGAAUUAUUGGGCGUAAAGAGCUCGUAGGCGGUUUGUCGCGUCUGCUGUGAAAGCCCGGGGCUCAACCCCGGGUCUGCAGUGGGUACGGGCAGACUAGAGUGCAGUAGGGGAGACUGGAAUUCCUGGUGUAGCGGUGAAAUGCCAGAUA